CCCACCUGUGCCCGACCGACUUGCCUGCUGAGGUUUUCGUGGUCGCGGAUGCAAAAGCACAAAGUGUCAAAAAUGCCGUCCGGGUUGAAGGGGGGGAAAAUUUCCCAUGAAACACCGGACAUGCGACGGUUUCGGAUCCAAUAGAGGCGGCACUCGGCUCCUUCAAACAAAAAAA